ACUAGAUGUGGCUUUUUAGACUUCCUAGGACAUAAUUGAACCUUAAGCUCUGAUACCAAGUUUGUAACGCCCCAAUUUUCUGAAACCAAAAUGUCACAUGGUGCUCAUGAUCCCGAAGGACCAUAAGCUAACCCUUUUCAGAUAUCUGUAACUGAGCACUGCAUAAUAUACUAAAAUAAAUGCAGAAAACUAGCGGAAACUUGCCAUGAGGUUCAAAUAUCUAAAAAUUCUCAAUACUAAAAACUGAAUACUAAUACAUCUGUCUAAAGAGCCUCUAAACUUGUCUGAACUGUGGAGUUGAUGGGACAUGUCCCCAACUAACUCCGUCUACUAAAAAUAAACUGAGGCUAAUGCCAUAAUAAAAUAAGGAUCAUCUUCGAAUGAAGAGGACUCACUACUACAUCUACUGCUGCUGACUGAGUCUGGACUGCUAAGGGUGCUUUGAAUCUCAUGCUUCAGAACCUAUGGUAUAAGACAAGAGAAAAGUAUGUGGCAGUACUUUUAAUGUAUUGGUAUGUUAGAUAAGGUAAGGCUAAAUACAAAGUCUUAUGUAUGAACAUAGCUUAACUGAAUAACAUGAGAGUACUGAAUGGGGGACAUAUCAUAAAUGCACAAAUCGAAACUGGAAUCGCAGUAACACUUAAUACGAACUCUAAAUAUUGGUUUCUGAAUACUGACUUACUGAUGACUGGGUCUACUAGUACUGAUGUUUGAGUUUACUAAUACUGAGAGACAGAAUAAUUGAGUCUAUUGAGAUUGAUGUCUAAUCUUGCUGAUACUGAUACUGAUUUAUUAUAUCUGAGAUCAAGCCUAUAUAAUGGGUGACCUCUGAGUUUACUGGUAAUGAUCCCUGAUACUUGAUAAACUGAAUCAAAGAUCAAACCUAUAUAACGGCUGACGUCUAUUGAUAAUGAAUAUAAUUAUCUGAAUCUGAGAUCAAGCCUAUAUAAUAGGUGGUCUCUGAGAGGUAGUCAAGCCUAGUAUAACGGGUGACUCCUCAGCUGUAUUCUUUUACUGAGACUGUGGGAGGUAGUUAUCUAACCAAUAUGCCCCUUCUAGCUUCUUUGGGGUCUAACCUUUAACCCAAGUUGGAAGGGUGUCAAUAUCGUGCCACGGAUAAAGAUACUUUUCUCUGAACCUACGAUGCUAUGCCUAAUAUAACGGGUGACACCUGUUUGGAGCCAAGCCUAAUAUAACGGGUGACUCCGGGGAGUUAGUCAAGCCUAAUAUGAUGGGUGUCUCCUCAUCCUAUGCUGGCUACGCAGUUCUAGAGUACAGGAAUUGUUAUUAAUGAUCUACCUAAAAUAACGGGGAAGCCAUCAUCCCUGUUCUCACUCGGUGGUGAAUCCUACUCCUAACUGAAUAGACACUGGACUGAUUCCUAGACUAUUCUAGACUGAGCUGAAUCUGUUAUUGGUCAUCUUGCUUGCCUGAGCUGAUUGAAUUUACUUGGUUCCAUUAUUUGACGGAAUGCUAUUGAAUUUUUAUUAGCUUACUGAGUUUCACUGAAGUCUGAACUGAAUACUGGAUACAACUGAAUACUAUUGAAUUAGAAUUGAAUACUAAGUUAGAUUAGACUGAUACUAAGACUGAAUUGAACUAGUACUGAGAUUACUGAAAUUAUCUUGAGACUGACUUGGCUCUAGAAUAUAGCUAAAUUUUUGGGUAUAAAUACCCCCAGGACUCGAUAGCAUAAAUAAAUAAGACAGGACCACACUUGAGUAUCUUGACAAGACUUUCUUUCACAGCACAAUCAAUACGAUAUCUCAUCAAUCACUUGAAUGUCNNNN
rnacentral:lncRNA from 1 species